CUAUACUAGAGCAUCUGCCUU
rnacentral:siRNA from 1 species